CAAAGAGAUGAGUUCUGUCAUUAACAUUAAAGCUGUCUUCAGAAUUUUGUUUAUUUGAACAAAGCAAGAACAAAUGUCUUUUGACAAAAAGAUGACGCAUAUGACUCAGAAUUAGAAGGGGAAAUCUGCCAGUUUGCAUCAGUUCCUUAACUUGUGGGCUGCUAUUCACCACAAGAAGAAUCAGUAUACUCGCACCAGUGCUUCUUGAGAGAUGAGGAGUAAUCGUUUCCUUCAAAAUGUGUAGGAUGAUUGGAGUAGGCCUUUCAUAUGUUACACUAGGCUUUUCCUAUAUCAAGAAAUCCACUGCAUUCUGUUUGCUAUUCAUCACUCCAAUAGAAGCAUCAGUAUUGCAGAACUAAGUAACAGUCUUCACUUUGAACUGCAUUCUUAAAAAGUAAUUAAAAAUCUGACUGUUACUUCAGGAGAAGAGCAAUCAAGGUAUAUAGUUCAUUCUCUUAAUUCUUCUUCCUCUGACCAGAAAGUAACCUCAAUUAAGUUGAGUGAAUUAACUGAGUGUUGUAGGUUAUGCCUGAAGCAAAUAAUAAUGGAAUAAUAGACAAAAGUGCACUGCUACCCUUAAAGUGUGUAUGUUCUGAAAUAUUUCAGUGGAAUCUCCACUUCUUUUAAUAAAUACAUGUAUAUCACUUUAAAGGCUGCUGACACCACAAAUUAGAUGGAAAGGUGGUUCCUUAACAAAAAACCAAGAAGGCAAGAGUAAAA